rnacentral:sRNA from 1 species
GAAACCAACAGGGAUUGCCUCAGUAACGGACGAGUGAAGCGGCAACAGCUCAAAUUUGAAAUCUGGCCGCAAGGUCCGAGUUGUAAUUUGUAGAGGAUGCUUUUGGCGAGGUGACUUCCGAGUUCCCUGGAACGGGACGCCAUAGAGGGUGAGAGCCCCGUACGGUCGUGCCACCGAGCCUCUGUAAAGCUCCUUCGACGAGUCGAGUAGUUUGGGAAUGCUGCUCUAAAUGGGAGGUGUACGUCUUCUAAAGCUAAAUACCGGCCAGAGACCGAUAGCGCACAAGUAGAGUGAUCGAAAGAUGAAAAGCACUUUGAAAAGAGGGUUAAAAAGUACGUGAAAUUGUUGAAAGGGAAGCAUUCAUGACCAGACUUGGGCUUGGUUGAACAUCCGGCGUUCUCGCCGGUGCACUCUGCCAGCUCAGGCCAGCAUCAGUUUGCCCCGGGGGACAAAGGCGGCGGGAAUGUGGCUCCCUACGGGGAGUGUUAUAGCCCGUCGUGUAAUGCCCUGGGGUGGACUGAGGUUCGCGCUCGGCACGGAUGC